rnacentral:misc_RNA from 1 species
CAGAGUUCGUGCCCUCACGGGUAGAUCUCCCACCCUUGUGUAUUCUCUACAUCUUGUUGCUUUGGCAGGCCGUUGGUUCGCCAACCACCGGCUCGCGGGCUGGUGCGUGCCUGCCAGAGGACCUCUCAAACUCGGGUUGUCAGUGUCGUCUGAGUACCAUAACAAUCGUUA